rnacentral:lncRNA from 1 species
UGAAUGUUGCUGAGUAACGGAAGUCUUCAACAUUAUUACUUGUCGUUGACAACUUCCCAACAUGAAUUAAAGGCGGAGAGAAGUUAUUUGAACUUUUGUUGUCUGCUUAAUCUAUCUGCAAGUCCGAGGAAUGCGAGACAAUUUAUAAGUAUUUGUUAUUUUUCUUUCAGAUACUGACGAAAGCAGCUAUUUUAAAGACAUCAAGAUUACUACGCUCACUUCCUGUGAUAAGGCGCAUUGGACAAUAUACAGAGUAUGGUGCUGUCGUACUACUUUUGUUUUUGGUAUUAAUCCCACAAGUAGGACACUGGUUAGCUUACAAGUGUGUUUUAUGCCAUUGCAUACUGGGAGCAACUGCACUUGGAAAAAAAGCCAUAGGAUGGUUACAUAGUGUAGCCAGAAGUAUCAGUGAAGCUAACAUUGCCAACGUUACAGAUAGUUGACCCAGCAUAAAGGUGUAUUACAUCAUAGCUUUUACGUUUACGUCACUGACGUCAAUAGGAUUCGGAAACGUGUCACCAAAUAACAACGGCGAAAACAUAUUCUCAAUAUUUGCUGUUCUGCUUGGAUCACUGCUGAGUGUCAACGGUGAGAGUGUAUCAUGAGACAGAUGAGUAGCACGAGAAAAUGAAGAGUACUAAAGAAACCAAAACAUUCAUCAUCAUCCGAAGAAUCUUGCAAACUGAUUGCACAAGUCCUUCUUACACACCUGGGCGUACACUAAUGGAAUUGACAUGAACAUGGUACAGUAUAUACAGAGUUUCUAUGAAUCAAGAGCGUUCAGUCUCAGUUUUAACUGAAGGUAGUUGCACGUGCUGACAAUCGGAAAUUUCCGUGUAUUUACGUAAUACUCCGUGUGUGAUUUCGGAAUGCUUCUGUCGUGAUAGGAAAUUCCUUUUCAUAAGGACUGGAGAACACUGAAAUCGCAUACUGAUAAAACAUCAGUGAACGGAAAAUAUCGAAUGUCAUUUUUUAUAUUUCACAAAAGUUCAGAAAAUAUUUUAUGUGUAAAGCCUAAAUUUUUCACUUCAUAAAGAGUCGAGUUUUGUUUUCUUUGGUUAUUGAUCGGACUAUAUAAAGAAUUAUUAUACCUCACAUAAAUAUCCAAUGCAAA